rnacentral:rRNA from 1 species
UGGGGAAUCUUCCGCAAUGGACGAAAGUCUGACGGAGCAACGCCGCGUGAGUGAAGAAGGUCUUCGGAUUGUAAAGCUCUGUCAACUAGGACGAAUGUGUGACUUGUGGAUAAUGAGUCAUAAUGACGGUACUAGAGAAGGAAGCCACGGCUAACUACGUG